rnacentral:rRNA from 1 species
GUCUAUAGCCAUGCUACCCUGAACAAGCCCGAUCCCGUCUGAUCUCAGAAGCUAAGUAGGGUUGGGCCUGGUUAGUACUUGGAUGGGAGACCACCUAUGAAGACCAGGUGCUGUUGGUG